rnacentral:rRNA from 1 species
UACGUAGGGUGCAAGCGUUAAUCGGAAUUACUGGGCGUAAAGCGUGCGCAGGCGGCUAUGCAAGACAGAUGUGAAAUCCCCGGGCUCAACCUGGGAACUGCAUUUGUGACUGCAUGGCUAGAGUACGGUAGAGGGGGAUGGAAUUCCGCGUGUAGCAGUGAAAUGCGUAGAUAUGCGGAGGAACACCGAUGGCGAAGGCAAUCCCCUGGACCUGUACUGACGCUGAGACGCGAAAGCGUGGGGAGCGAACAGG